rnacentral:lncRNA from 1 species
UUUCAUAACAUAUGAUUGCAUUUCGGGUUGGUUUUCCUAGUUUGGAUGGGCUUUUCCGGGGACCUUGAUACUUUCCUUUAGAGAUCUUCGUUGUGCAUCGUGAUGCCAAGUAAAUAACUAAGAUAUACCAGUUCCGGUGGUACAUUUAUUAUUGAAAGGAGCAAUAGAUACAGAAAUUCAUUCUAGCGUGUGAUAAAAUUGAGUUUAAUUUUCAACCAGACUAUUUCAAAUUCCAUUUCCUUUUUUUUGUUUCCUUUUUGGGCUUUAGCUUUCUGUGUGUGCGUGUUGUGAUGUCAAAUUCGUCCGACUCAACCACAAAUUUAGGUGAAUUCAAACUAAUGAAGCUUACAAGUUCUACAAGAUAAAAUGAUUAUUUUGUGUUUCCAAAAGAACAUUAGCUAGUAACAAAGUUGAGAAUUAGUAUUAGCUUCUUCAAAAUGUAUACAAUGUUGAAUGUUUUCAAGAUUGAAAUUCUUACCCAAAUGAUAUUCCAUGUUUAAAUGCUGUUAGUAUAGAGAACUAAUAUUCAGAUAAUUCGUUUUUGGGCCUUGCUUGAACUGUAACUUCUGGAAAUGGAUAGCACAAAGAAAUAUUUAUUCUGCAAAUAUAACCAAAUAAUCCCAAAUUAACAGAAAGCAGAACGGAGGAUUCUGCAGCUUUCAUCCAUCCACACCACCCAAGCCAAAACUCUAGCGGUAUAACUUUUUGGUUUCUAAAGCUUCUAACGUAUAUUCCAUCUACACUACCAAAGUUGAAGGAAAAGUAAAGAAAGAUACUAAACAAAAGACCAAAAAGAAGAGAGAGAGAGAGGGGGGGAGGGUCAUUUCCGUAUUCUGAAAAUCUGGCAGUAGACUGUAGAAGCUCUUGAUCCAGUCCUGCUCUUCCUCUUAUGGCACCCCCUCGCCUGCCCUGCUUCGGAUUGGAAACUUGGAAUUAGUAAUUGCACAAAAUGACUCUCGUGAGAGCAAUGACCAAACAAGCCACGGUGAAGAAGAAGAAAGAAACAAAGUCCCUAGAUGACCAUUUCCUGACGGCUUUAGAGGAUUCAACCCUCAAACUCUUAGCCCUCCUCAGCGCGUCCACUUCUUUCAACAGGUCAAAUUCAACCCCUUUCUUCUUCAACUCCUCAACGCACUUGGCCAGCAAUUUGCAGUCCUCUUUUUCCCUCUGCAGAAGCUUCUCCAGAUGGCCUUCCACGUCAGUCUUGUACCUGACAGCCCAUAUGAUCCCAAGAGAGCAGAGGAGGGAACACAAAGAUGGGAUCCAAGACCUGCGGCAGAAGGGGCCCCGGCCUCCUGCGGAGGAGGCAGCGCUGAAGAGAAGGAUGAGGGCAGUGGAAUGGAAGAAAAAGAAGAAGCAGUAGAGUUGGGUGAUUUCUUUGCGGACGGAGUCAAUUUGAGUCUCCUUGAGGGCUAUUCUGUGGAGGAUUAGCUCUUCUUCCCUCAGCCAUUGCUUGAGGAGAAGCUUGUGAGUUGGGGUCUCGGCGAUCUGGUGAAGCGGGUGAAGGGGCUUCGAUUCCAUGAUUGAAGUUGACGAGGUGUUGCUCUGAUGAUCAACCAUUGUUGAAAAUUUUUCUUGGAGAAGGCUGUGGGUAAAUAUUAUCUGCAGAUAUGAACUGAGAAAAGUGAGGGUGGCGAUUAAGCAGAGUGAGGAGUAAAGAGGAGCGGGCGAUAUUUUUGUCCAAACGGUCUACUUUUGGGUUUUGAAUUCUAACGGUCCAAAAUUACGGAUCCGCAGAAAUUGGGAGGCUUUCGGCUACAACAGACAAACAAAUCCUAUCCGUCCAUACUCUAUUGAAACGUUGAUAAAUCCUAUCUGGUAAUCGUUAGAUGGGAGGUAUAGUACGUCAGCCAAAACGAUCCAAAGAAUAUGGAGACCGGUCUUUUGAGUGGAGAAGGACAACUUGACUUUACAGUGAAGAAUGGACUUUUUUUUUUACUGUUUCCCCGCGCGCGUCCAGGUUGAUGUCACGUUAUUUGUAAAAAAAAUUCUUUACUUGUAUCAUAAACUAGAGGUACCUCGGCUGUACGUUGCACAGCCAGGGCUCUCUAAAAUAUUAGUUAAAUAUAUAGUAACAAAUAUUUUAGUACAUAAUGAAUAAAAAUAUAGAAAAAAAAGUAAGUAUAAAAACAAUUAAAAUUUGCUGUGAAAAGAAAUUUCAUAUAUAAAGUUAAUCCCAAUUUAUUGUAAUUUGGAAAAAGAAUUUUUAACCAAUAUUAUGUGUACGUAAUGAUACCAAAAAAGAAAAGAAAGCAAAUCCAUUAUGAGUGCAUUAUCGGUUUAAUAGCAGCAUAGUUUUAGUUGUAAUUAAAUAAAGAGUAGUCAUAAUAUUUCUAACAUUUUAAUAAUUAGAAAAAAUAUAGAAAGCCACAAAAACCUGUCACUAUCUUCAACAUCAAUAAAAAAAAAAUACAAACUUGCAUAUUUUUCUUUCUUUUUUGAGAGAAAGAGCGAGUCAAUCUAUCCAUUUAAAUCAUGUCUAAUAGCAUUACAAAUAGAUAAAAACAUUAUCUAACCAAAUAGUUAUAGAAUACGUAUAGCAAGUUUAAAUAAAAACAUGAAUUGCCAUAUUUGUAAAUCUACAUAUGCAAAUUCGAAUCCAACAAUUUGUUUGAUUGCAAAUAUGUCUUCUUAAUCAAAAUAGAAUUUUCUAAUAAUAUUUUGUAGAGUGACACUCUAAGCUAAAAGCCUCAAUACUAACUUCCCACCAAAUGCAUUCCUUUGAAAACUGCAAUUGUUUUAGCUAGUCAAAUCGACAAAAUAUUAUUAACUUCUUUAGCCAAAUAGUAAUGAUAUGUCCAGUUCUAUGCCUAACAAUCAUCUCAAACUCUAAUUAUAUUAUCUAUCAUUAUGGGCAAUAGAAAGGAAUACGAGUACAAAGUCAUAUAGAACCAGUUUAAGUAAAAGAUUCUGAAAUCUAAUUUUGCACUUCUUUUAUUUCCAAGCUAUCAUUUGUUAAAAUUAAAACCAUGAAAAUAAACUACCUAUUAUGGAUACAAUAGUCAUUCACAAUGUUGAAUGAAGAGAUAUAAAAUAUUGUCUUCACAUUCUAAAUUGCUAGCCCCAACAAUUAUUUUACCCGUCAUCCAUCUUAUCCAGUUUAUAAGCACUUUUCACAAUUAAUAAACUUUAUAUAAAUUAAAACAUAAUUACCUAUCCAUAAAUUAAGAGAUUCUGGUUAAUUUUUAACUUAAUAGGCAUCAUUUUUUUCUUCCUGAUCAUCGUUUACCUUGGAUUUUCAUUUAUUAGAUUUUUUUCUCCUCUACUGUAGUACUAUCACCCUAUUAUCAAAUAACAAUUUUAAUAAAUAAAAAAUUAGAAUUAGAAUGAAUCUGCAUAAUGGUGUUAUUUAUUUUAUGAGGGAAAAGUAGUUACAAUUCUUUCAUUGUUAGCCUAAAAAUUCUUCAUGUAAUCACCACCCGUCUUGUUGUCAGCCUUUUCCAAAAAUAAAAAGAUCAAAAAGUAGUUUCAGAAUAAAUAAAAUAUAAAAAACUAAAAAAAAUGUUUCUUUAGAUUUGGGGAAAAAUAUUCACAGCAUCACAUACCUAUUUUGGGCAGAAAGAAAGUCAGAUGAAGAAGAAAUAGGUGAGAAAAACAAUAAGCAAAGGUUGCUGAUCAAGACGCAAAAAAUGACAAAAAAAAAAUCAAAUAGUAUAUACCAAAAGAGACAUUAAAAGUAGAAGAUUAUGAAUCAUAAUUAUUGGAUUAUGGAAGAAAGGAAAUAUCAAAUCCAUUCUUGAUCUCCGAUAAUGAAAUCAUUCAUUUAGUUAAUUAUGGACAAAAAUGAAAGAAAAUGCAUCAACUAAUCCAAUAGAGAAAAAAUAGAAUAAAUGAUUAAUUAGGAUGAUAGGGGAAAAAAUGGAGUACAAAGUGGAAACUAAAUAACAAACCUGCAGUGUACAUGAGGAUUUGUUUAAUUAUCUUUAAUUAAAAAGGAGAAAGGAAAUAAAGUGAACAAAAGAAAAGACAAAGCAAAAUGAAGAAAAGAAAAGGAAUGGGCCAUAUGUCAAUGAGAGGGAUCCAUUUGGCAAUCAUUGGAGUUGCUAUAGUAACUCCACUUUCUUCUUAUAUAAUAGGUAGAUAUUUUUAAUUUAUUUAAUUUAUUUUUUAUUUUAUAUAUAUCACAUUAUAAAAAAAAUUAAAUUAAUAUUCUAAAAAAUAUUUCAAAUAAUUUCCUAUUCAAACACACUUUUCAUGACAAGUGAUUUCUCGUGUUUUAGAUAUUGAGAUAACAACUUGACUUUUCUUGAAUUUAAGCCCAAGAUGUAUAUGGCAAUAUUAACUGAAGUUAGUGAACAACACGAUUUCAUGAUUCCAAGGCAACACAGACAUUAAAUGAGCUGGAAUUUGAGGCGAAUCUAGGGUCCGUUUGUUUUGGGUGAAAAUGUUUUCCAGGAAAAUAUUUUCCUAAUUUCCCGUGUUUGGAUGGACAAAAGUUACUAAAAACAUUUUCCUAUGUAAAAUAUUUUCACUCAUCUUAUGGAAAACAACUUCCCUUCCAAACUUACUGAAGUUGUUUUCCGAAAUGCAUGUAUCCCGCCUGUAGCAUGUUCCAAACUUACUGAAAACAUCUUGUAGUAUGUUCUUUUUUUUUUUUAGUGUAAACAGGAGGACUCGAAUCCAAGAUCUCUUCCUUACACUCCCUCCCCGUACCACCCAACCCAACCCAACCCAACCCUCCCCCUAGUAUAUUCAAAAUAAAAAAAAAAAAUCUCAUCCUGCUCAUCCUAUGCUAGUAAUUAAUUAUGUAUAAUAAGGACAUUCUUUUCUAGAGAAACUUUCAGCAGUGAGAGUGCAAGAUAUAUGUCACAAUAAGCAUUACAUGUGAUUGAUAUUUGACACUAAAUGGCCAGCAAUUUGUUUAUUGCUUAAGGAGAUAUUUUUUUAUUCAUAUAUACAUUUCUCCAAGAUUUUUUAAAGUUAAACAAUGAGAUAAAUUUUCUUAUUUUGCAUGGGAAGAAGUAUGUAGUUAUAAUGUGUAAAAAGUAAAGAUAUAGAUAAAAGUGAAAAUAUUUCAAAAGUUAAACAAACACCAGAAAAAUGAAGUAAGAAAAUAUUUUCAAUAAGCUAACCAAACACCUGAAAAUGAUGAAAGGGAAAUGAUUUUCAUGGAAAAUUACUUCCACGGAAAAUAUUUUCCCAAGGAAAACAUUUUACUUCCAACCAAACAGACCCCUAGUGCUCUUGAAUUCCGCUAUGUCCAAUUUUCUUUACUUUUUUUUCAAACAAAUUUCUUUUAGUUUGUUCCUUACACUAUUCUAUUUCAGAUUCAAGUAAUAAUACUAAACUAGAUCUUUUUUUGUAUUUUUCCUUAGAUUAUUUUUUUGGUAAACCAUUUUUUUGGGUAGCUUCUUUUUUACAAAAAUUUAUUGGAUUACAUCAUAAACACGUUCUUUUUAUUUUUUUCAAUCAUAUUUUUAUCUCGCAUACAUCAUACUACAAAAAGUGCUAUAGUGUUUUUUUGAAAAAUUAUUCCAAAUAAUCUUCUACACAAACACAAACUUAUUAAAGAUCUUGGGCACAAAUGAAAUUGUUAUAGUAUAUAUACCAUCAGUCAAAAGAAAAGUGGUUUAUAUCUUCAACAUAUAUGAUAUUAUAAUCCAUAUUACUUAGAAAGUAGGAAUAAUUUCAGAAAAAAUUACACUUACCUGCCUUGGUAUAGUAAAAUACCUAUAAUACCCUCCACUUGGUAGACAAUUUUAAAUUUAAGACAAUAAAUUUACAAAACCCAAAAAAAA